AAAUAUGUUUUAAGAACACUAAUCUAUAUGGCGUUGAAAAAUAUAUACCUUCAUAAGUUCUUCUUCAAUUGUAUUCAAUGGACUAAAAGAACCCUCGGUUAAUGGAACAUUGUUUGACUUUCUAAAUUACGCUUUAUUUCAAAAAGGUGGUGGAAAA